GUGUCAGCCGCCGCGGUAAUACGUAGGGGGCGAACGUUGUCCGGAUUUAUUGGGCGUAAAGAGCUCGUAGGCGGCUCAGCAAGUCGGCCGUGAAAACCCGGGGCUCAACCCCGGGACGCCGGUCGAAACUGCUGUGGCUAGGGUUCGGUAGAGGAGAGUGGAAUUCCCGGUGUAGCGGUGAAAUGCGCAGAUAUCGGGAGGAACACCAGUAGCGAAGGCGGCUCUCUGGGCCGAUACCGACGCUGAGGAGCGAAAGCUAGGGGAGCAAACAGGAUUAGAAACCCCCGUAGUCC
rnacentral:rRNA from 1 species